rnacentral:lncRNA from 1 species
CGGUGCGAAUCCGGGUCAAUUAACCCGUGAUUCGUUAGGGCUUUGAGUAGUGUUUGACCCGAAAGCCCAAUGAUUUCGCGUUUGUGGCCGUCUGGGUCCACGGCGGAGAGCUUGACGAUCCGAUCAGCGACUUUGGCGGAGGCGGAGCGGGAGGGGGAUGGUGACGUGGCGGAAGAGCGAGUGAUUGAGGCUCUGAAGGUGGAGG